UGCAAGUCGAACGGUGACCCGGACUUCGGUCCGGCGAUCAGUGGCGAACGGGUGCGUAACACGUGGGCAACCUGCCCCAGACUCUGGGAUAACCCCGGGAAACCGGGGCUAAUACCGGAUACUCCGGCCGUACCGCAUGACGCGGCCGGGAAAGCUCCGACGGUCUGGGAUGGGCCCGCGGCCUAUCAGCUUGUUGGUGAGGUAACGGCUCACCAAGGCGACGACGGGUAGCUGGUCUGAGAGGACGACCAGCCACACUGGAACUGAGAUACGGUCCAGACUCCUACGGGAGGCAGCAGUGGGGAGUCUUGCGCAAUGGGCGAAAGCCUGACGCAGCGACGCCGCGUGGGGGAUGAAGGCCUUCGGGUUGUAAACCCCUUUCGGCAGGGACGAAGCUAACGUGACGGUACCUGCAGAAGAAGUCCCGGCUAACUACGUGCCAGCAGCCGCGGUAAGACGUAGGGGACGAGCGUUGUCCGGAUUUAUUGGGCGUAAAGCGCGCGUAGGCGGCUCGGACAGUCGGAUGUGAAAAUCCGGGGCUCAACCCCGGACCUGCAUCCGAUACUUCCGGGCUAGAGGUAGGUAGGGGAGAUCGGAAUUCCUGGUGUAGCGGUGAAAUGCGCAGAUAUCAGGAGGAACACCGGUGGCGAAGGCGGAUCUCUGGGCCUUACCUGACGCUGAGGCGCGAAAGCUAGGGGAGCGAACAGGAUUAGAUACCCUGGUAGUCCUAGCCGUAAACGUUGGGUGCUAGGUGUGGGGGGACAUCGACCCCUUCCGUGCCGAAGCUAACGCAUUAAGCACCCCGCCUGGGGAGUACGGCCGCAAGGCUAAACUCAAAGGAAUUGACGGGGGCCCGCACCAGCGGCGGAGCAUGCGGCUUAAUUCGAUGCAACGCGAAGAACCUUACCUGGGUUUG
rnacentral:rRNA from 1 species